rnacentral:rRNA from 1 species
GAUGAACGCUGGCGGCGUGCCUAAUACAUGCAAGUCGAGCGAACAGACGAGGAGCUUGCUCCUCUGACGUUAGCGGCGGACGGGUGAGUAACACGUGGAUAACCUACCUAUAAGACUGGGAUAACUUCGGGAAACCGGAGCUAAUACCGGAUAAUAUAUUGAACCGCAUGGUUCAAUAGUGAAAGACGGUUUUGCUGUCACUUAUAGAUGGAUCCGCGCCGCAUUAGCUAGUUGGUAAGGUAACGGCUUACCAAGGCAACGAUGCGUAGCCGACCUGAGAGGGUGAUCGGCCACACUGGAACUGAGACACGGUCCAAACUCCUACGGGAGGCAGCAGUAGGGAAUCUUCCGCAAUGGGCGAAAGCCUGACGGAGCAACGCCGCGUAAGUGAUGAAGGUCUUCGGAUCGUAAAACUCUGUUAUUAGGGAAGAACAAAUGUGUAAGUAACUAUGCACGUCUUGACGGUACCUAAUCAGAAAGCCACGGCUAACUACGUG